ACAUAUUUUCAGUUAAUUUGUUCCUGACUGCACGAACAAGAGAGAAACAAUUCCUCAACUAAGAAGAUUCAUUUUACUAAGCUUCAAAGAACUCGAAAAAUUGCAAUGAAGUCUCAAAUGGUUAUUUGUCUCAUCGUGAUUGCACUGUGUUUGUCUUUGGAGAUAGUAGCCCGUGAAGAUGGCCAUGGGAAGAGAAACCCAGAGAAGAAACCACACAGGUCCAACCAGUCACUGGAGGGAUAAGAAAGCAUGGAAAUUACUUAAUUCAUAAGAUAAAUAGAGGAUAUUACAUGGGCGCGCGGAGAUACGAAAUUUAUCUUCGAGUGUUGAAAAGAUCUCUCACGAGUGAGCGCAGCGAACGAGUGAGAGAUUUUUAAC